UUAUGGCCACGCCAGUUUGAAACACCGGUUCUCGUACGAUCACUGAAGUUAAGAAACAUCGAGUCUGGUCAAUACCUAAAUGGGUGAGCGCUUGGAAUACC